rnacentral:rRNA from 2 species
UACGUAGGGGGCAAGCGUUGUCCGGAAUCACUGGGCGUAAAGAGCACGUAGGCGGUAUGCUAAGUUAGGUGUGAAAGUUUGCAGCUCAACUGUAAAAGUGCACUUAAAACUGGUAUACUUGAGUAUCGGAGAGGUAAGCGGAAUUCCUAGUGUAGCGGUGAAAUGCGUAGAGAUUAGGAAGAACACCGGUGGCGAAGGCGGCUUACUGGACGAUCACUGACGCUCAGGUGCGAAAGCGUGGGGAGCAAACAGG